GGAAUAAGGGGAGGGCAAGUCUGGUGUCAGCCGCCGCGGUAAUACCAGCUCCUCGAGUGGUCGGGACGAUUAUUGGGCCUAAAGCACCCGUAGCCGGUUUCGUAAGUCCUCUGUUAAAUCCAGUCGCUCAACGGCUGGCCUGCAGAGGAUACUGCGAGACUAGGAGGCGGGAGAGGCGGACGGUACUCCGCGUGUAGGGGUAAAAUCCUUUGAUCCGCGGAAGACCACCAGUGGCGAAGGCGGUCCGCCAGAACGCGCUCGACGGUGAGGGGUGAAAGCUGGGGGAGCGAACCGGAUUAGAUACCCGGGUAGUCCCAGCCGUAAACGAUGCGAGCUAGAUGAUU
rnacentral:rRNA from 1 species